GUGGGGAAUAUUGGACAAUGGGGGGAACCCUGAUCCAGCCAUGCCGCGUGUGUGAAGAAGGCCUUUUGGUUGUAAAGCACUUUAAGCGAGGAGGAGGCUACCGAGAUUAAUACUCUUGGAUAGUGGACGUUACUCGCAGAAUAAGCACCGGCUAACUCUGUGCCAGCAGACGAGGUAAUACAGAGGGUGCAAGCGUUAAUCGGAUUUACUGGGCGUAAAGCGCGCGUAGGUGGCCAAUUAAGUCAAAUGUGAAAUCCCCGAGCUUAACUUGGGAAUUGCAUGCGAUACUGGUUGGCUAGAGUAUGGGAGAUGAUGGUAGAAUUCCAGGUGUAGCGGUGAAAUGCGUAGAGAUCUGGAGGAAUACCGAUGGCGAAGGCAGCCAUCUGGACUAAUACUGACACUGAGGUGCGAAAGCAUGGGGAGCAAACAGGAUUAGAACCCCGAGUAGUCC
rnacentral:rRNA from 1 species